UACGGGGGGGAGCAAGCGUUGUUCAGAUUUACUGGGCGUAAAGGGCUCGUAGGCGGCCAACUAAGUCACACGUGAAAUCCCCAGGCUUAACCUGGGAACUGCGUGUGAUACUGGAUGGCUUGAAUUCGGGAGAGGGAUGCAGAAUUCCAGGUGUAGCGGUGAAAUGCGUAGAUAUCUGGAGGAAUACCGGUGGCGAAGGCGGCAUCCUGGACCGACAUUGACGCUGAUGAGCGAAAGCUAGGGGAGCAAACGGGG
rnacentral:rRNA from 1 species